rnacentral:rRNA from 1 species
AUUGAACGCUGGCGGCAGGCUUAACACAUGCAAGUCGAGCGGGGUGAUGGUGCUUGCACUAUCACUUAGCGGCGGACGGGUGAGUAAUGCUUAGGAAUCUGCCUAUUAGUGGGGGACAACAUCUCGAAAGGGAUGCUAAUACCGCAUACGUCCUACGGGAGAAAGCAGGGGAUCACUUGUGACCUUGCGCUAAUAGAUGAGCCUAAGUCGGAUUAGCUAGUUGGUGGGGUAAAGGCCUACCAAGGUGACGAUCUGUAGCGGGUCUGAGAGGAUGAUCCGCCACACUGGGACUGAGACACGGCCCAGACUCCUACGGGAGGCAGCAGUGGGGAAUAUUGGACAAUGGGGGGAACCCUGAUCCAGCCAUGCCGCGUGUGUGAAGAAGGCCUUAAGGUUGUAAAGCACUUUAAGCGAGGAGGAGGCUCUUUUGGUUAAUACCCAGAAUGAGUGGACGUUACUCGCAGAAUAAGCACCGGCUAACUCUGUGCCAGCCGCCGCAGUAA